rnacentral:snoRNA from 10 species
UUGCACAGUGAACACCCAAGUGUUCUUUAUAGUUCCCUUGGUUUUAACUCUGUGCUAGAGCAAUGUCUGUUCUUUUCCUCUGCACUGAAAGGACUAUCCUUUUAAGUGUAUUCAGAAAGUCAGCACAUUA